GGGUAGUGUGUACGCAGCCUUACCCCUACCCUGGGGUAGAGAGGCUGUUUCCAAAUAGACCCCCGGCAUAAAUCCCCAGAAUUUGCUCCUGGGGAGACUCGAACUCACAACCUCUCGGUUGUAAGUGAGGGUUGGUUACCAUCAGACAUAGCCCUAUGUUAUAUAUAUAUAUAUAUAUAUAUAGCCAUAUGUUGUAUCUAUGGAGGAGAACGAACAGUGGAGGUUUCAGUGCAAUUCUUUUGCUUCAACUUUCACAUACACAAAAUAUAUAACAUAAUGAAGAACAAAAAAUAUGCAGAAGCCGAAAAGAAGAAAAAGAAAUUGAGAGGAGCGGAAGUAUCAUUAUCAGAAAAUGAUGGGCUCAACCUUGGUGUCUGUUCGUCGCCACCUCUUUUCACAUGUAAAUAUGACGCAAAAAGCACCAACUUUGCCCUU
rnacentral:lncRNA from 1 species